CGGGUACUGCCCGGUGCGCGCCUUGAGUUAUCCCUGAGGCGAUAUAAUCCCAUUGGGAGCUGUCCCUGCCCCGGCCCUGGCCGGACGCACACGGCGCCCACCUGACGUUUGUGGCGUCAGAGGAUUUCCGGCAAACGGCCAUGGUGGUCCCGUC
rnacentral:other from 1 species